rnacentral:rRNA from 1 species
CCUACGGGAGGCAGCAGUGGGGAAUUUUGGACAAUGGGGGAAACCCUGAUCCAGCAAUGCCGCGUGAGUGAAGAAGGCCUUCGGGUUGUAAAGCUCUUUUGUCAGGGAAGAAACGGUUUCUCCUAAUACGAGGGACUAAUGACGGUACCUGAAGAAUAAGCACCGGCUAACUACGUGCCAGCAGCCGCGGUAAUACGUAGGGUGCAAGCGUUAAUCGGAAUUACUGGGCGUAAAGCGUGCGCAGGCGGUUAUGUAAGACAGAUGUGAAAUGCCCGGGCUCAACCUGGGAACUGCAUUUGUGACUGCAUGGCUAGAGUUUGGCAGAGGGGGGUAGAAUUCCACGUGUAGCAGUGAAAUGCGUAGAUAUGUGGAGGAAUACCGAUGGCGAAGGCAGCCCCCUGGGUCAAGACUGACGCUCAUGCACGAAAGCGUGGGGAGCAAACAGGAUUAGAUACCCUGGUAGUCCACGCCCUAAACGAUGUCUACUAGUUGUCGGGUCUUAAAUUGACUUGGUAACGCAGCUAACGCGUGAAGUAGACCGCCUGGGGAUACGGUCGCAAGNUUAAAACUCAAAGGAAUUGACCGGNGUGAGACGNGCGAGAGACACGAGGAGAGG